rnacentral:rRNA from 1 species
ACGGGGCCCGCACAAGCGGAGGAACAUGUGGUUUAAUUCGAUGAUACGCGAGGAACCUUACCCGGGCUCGAACGGUGCAGGAAUAUUCCAGAGAUGGGAUAGCUAGCAAUAGUCUGUAUCGAGGUGCUGCAUGGUUGUCGUCAGCUCGUGCCGUGAGGUGUCGGCUUAAGUGCCAUAACGAGCGCAACCCUUAUCAUUAGUUGCCAGCGGGUCAAGCCGGGAACUCUAAUGAGACUGCCACCGUAAGGUGUGAGGAAGGUGGGGAUGACGUCAAAUCAGCACGGCCCUUACGUCCGGGCGACACACGUGUUACAAUGGGGGGUACAGAGGGUCGCUACCUAGUGAUAGGAUGCUAAUCUCAUAAAGCCUCUCUCAGUUCGGAUCGGAGUCUGCAACUCGACUCCGUGAAGCUGGAUUCGCUAGUAAUCGCGCAUCAGCCAUGGCGCGGUGAAUACGUUCCCGGGCCUU